rnacentral:rRNA from 2 species
CGGGGGGGGGGGUGGCUAAUACAUGCAGUCGAGCGAACUGAUUAGAAGCUUGCUUCUAUGACGUUAGCGGCGGACGGGUGAGUAACACGUGGGCAACCUGCCUGUAAGACUGGGAUAACUUCGGGAAACCGAAGCUAAUACCGGAUAGGAUCUUCUCCUUCAUGGGAGAUGAUUGAAAGAUGGUUUCGGCUAUCACUUACAGAUGGGCCCGCGGUGCAUUAGCUAGUUGGUGAGGUAACGGCUCACCAAGGCAACGAUGCAUAGCCGACCUGAGAGGGUGAUCGGCCACACUGGGACUGAGACACGGCCCAGACUCCUACGGGAGGCAGCAGUAGGGAAUCUUCCGCAAUGGACGAAAGUCUGACGGAGCAACGCCGCGUGAGUGAUGAAGGCUUUCGGGUCGUAAAACUCUGUUGUUAGGGAAGAACAAGUACGAGAGUAACUGCUCGUACCUUGACGGUACCUAACCAGAAAGCCACGGCUAACUACGUGCCAGCAGCCCGCGGUAAUACGUAGGUGGCAAGGCGUUAUCCGGAAUUAUUUGGGGCGUAAAGCCGCGCCGCAGGCGGUUUUCUUUAAGUCUGAUGUGAAAGCCCACGGCUCAACCGUGGAGGGUCAUUGGAAACUGGGGAACUUGAGUGCAGAAGAGAAAAAGCGGAAUUCCACGUGUAGCGGUGAAAUGCGUAGAGAUGUGGAAGAACCCAGUGGCGGAAGCGGCUUUUUUGGUCUGUAACUGACGCUGAAGCGCGAAAGCGUGGGGAGCCAACAAGAUUAGAUACCCUGGGUAGUCCACGCCGUGAAACGAUGAGAUGCUCAGUGUUAGAGGGGUUUCCGCCCCUUUAGUGCUGCACCUAACGCAUAUAGCACAUCUCGCCUGGGGAGUACGGCGCCAAGACUGAGACUCAAAGGAUUUGACCGGGGGCCCGCACAAGCGUGUAGCAUGUGGUUUAUUUCUAAGCACAGCGAGAACCUACCAGGUCUUGACAUCCUCUGACACUCUAAGAUAGAGCGGUCCUCCUCUCGGACGAAUGACAGAGUGCAUGAUGUCUCCACUCAUGUCCUGAAAUUUGUUAUACGCGCAUGAGCACACCUGAUCUAGUGGCAGCAUAUAUGGACCUUCACUAAUGCCUGUUACACGUAGAUGGUGGCGUACUCUCAU